rnacentral:rRNA from 1 species
UACCAGCACCCCGAGUGGUCGGGACGAUUAUUGGGCCUAAAGCAUCCGUAGCCGGUUUUACAAGUCCUCCGUUAAAUCCAGCUGCUUAACAGAUGGGCUGCGGAGGAUACUAUAAGACUAGGAGGCAGGAGAGGCAAGCGGUACUCAGUGGGUAGGGGUAAAAUCCGUUGAUCCAUUGAAGACCACCAGUGGCGAAGGCGGCUUGCCAGAAUGCGCUCGACGGUAAGGGAUGAAAGCUGGGGGAGCAAACCGG